GGCAGGGUCUCCCCGACUUCAGGCACAGCAGCUGCACUUGUCAGACGCCCCUUUGCAGAUGCAGAGCUCGUGAAGGGAACGA